rnacentral:misc_RNA from 1 species
GAUGACGAACGUAGCGAAAUGCGAUAAGUAAUGUGAAUUGCAGACACCGUGAAUCAUCGAAUCUUUGAACGCACAUUGCGCCCUUUGGUAUUCCGAAGGGCAUGCCUGUUCGAGCGUCAUUACACUAUUCUUCGGAGUAUUGACAGUGGCUUACGCCUUGUCUAAAACCCUUGGUGGUAACUAUCAAUCACGCAUAGUAAUCUCUGCGAAGGUGGAUAGGUAAACACUGAAAACUUCUUGUUUGACCUCGGAUCAGGUAGGGAUACCCGCUGAACUUAAGCAUAUCAAUAAGCGGAGGA